rnacentral:tRNA from 1 species
GGGCCGUAGCUCAGUUGGGAGAGCGCCUGCUUUGCAAGCAGGAGGUCGUCGGUUCGAUCCCGAUCGGCUCCA